rnacentral:rRNA from 1 species
AUGGACAGCGUUGAAGACAAGUUGAAGCGCAUGAAUCUCUCAGAGGCUGAGAGGAGGGGUGUGAAAAUCGGAUGGAGGAGAGCGGCGGAGCAGAAGGGGAGUGUGGCUAAAGCAAUGGGGAAGUUGUUCUCUGAUAAACUAGGACAUGUAGGAGGUAUGGAGCUGGCGCUAGGCAAGAUUUGGUGCCCGCUGAAGAGGCUGGAGGUGAAGGAGAUGGGAGAGAACCGAUUCUUGUUCCUUUUUCAUCAGGAGGCGGGGAAGAGAAAAGCAGUGGAUAAUGGCCCAUGGACCUUUGGCAAGGAGCUGCUCGUUAUGGAAGACUUCGAUCCUCGCAAAACAAUAGAGGAUUACACUUUCGACACGGUGCCGAUCUGGGUGAGAAUCUACAAUGUUCCGCUGGGAAUGAUGUGUCGGGAGGUGGGGGAAGACUUGGGGGAAGAAAUAGGUAAAUUGAUGGAGGUUGAUGCUGGCGAGGAUGGGACGGCAUUGGAUAAAUGCUUGAGGGUAAAAGUGAAGAUCAAAGUCUCUGAACCUCUCAUGAGGGGACUGUACCUGGAUGUGGAACCGGAGGAGGGGGAAGCAGGGAGUGACAUGGAGGUAGGCAUGACCGAUGGAGAGAGAUCGAAAAAGGAUGAGGAAGGGAGGUUCUGGUGCCAUUUUGAGUAUGAAUAUUUGCCUGAUUUCUGCUAUACUUGUGGGAGGCUUGGUCAUGUGGACAGAGAGUGCGGCAACAGGCUGAGAAAGGGCCAGAAAGCUGAGUUUGGAAGAUGGCUGAAGUAUGUGUCGGAAAGAGCUCAUGUCAAUGAGGCAGGAAGAACAAACUGGAGAGAAAACAGUGGUGGCAGUUCAGGCAGGAGGUAUGGAUGGCUGAAUAGCGAGGGGAGGUCUAGGAGUGAUGUGGAUUCCUGGAAGAAAUCAAGUGGAAGUGGGGGAGACAGGGAAAAGAAGAGCACGAUCGAAACUAAAGUUACAAGCCCUCUAAAUAUCACACUGCCAGCGAGCGAGCAAAAUAAGGAAAAGAGUGGGGAUAAGAGCAAAAAAUGUCUGAGUUUUGGCGCUUUGGAGGAAGCGGAAGGAUCAGUGAGUGCAGCCACAAACAAGGCAGUCCCAAACAAGCAGGGGGGCCCUUCUGCAGGGGUAGAGAGAGGAGCAAUAGACGCCGCGAGAGGUGGAAAGAGUGAUUUAAAGGGGGAGCUGCAUGCAGAGGUGAAGGCUCAUACCUUAAAAAAAAGAGUAAGAAGGGGAGGAACUGAAGGAAAUAUGCCCUAG